rnacentral:rRNA from 1 species
GAUGAACGCUGGCGGCGUGCCUAAUACAUGCAAGUCGAGCGAACGGACGAGAAGCUUGCUUCUCUGAUGUUAGCGGCGGACGGGUGAGUAACACGUGGAUAACCUACCUAUAAGACUGGGAUAACUUCGGGAAACCGUAGCUAAUACCGGAUAAUAUUUUGAACCGCAUGGUUCAAAAGUGAAAGACGGUCUUGCUGUCACUUAUAGAUGGAUCCGCGCUGCAUUAGCUAGUUGGUAAGGUAACGGCUUACCAAGGCAACGAUGCAUAGCCGACCUGAGAGGAUGAACGGCCACACUGGAACUGAGACACGGUCCAGACUCCUACGGGAGGCAGCAGUAGGGAAUCUUCCGCAAUGGGCGAAAGCCUGACGGAGCAACGCCGCGUGAGUGAUGAAGGUCUUCGGGUCGUAAAACUCUGUUAUUAGGGAAGAACAUAUGUGUAAGUAACUGUGCACAUCUUGACGGUACCUAAUCAGAAAGCCACGGCUAACUACGUG